rnacentral:rRNA from 1 species
UGAGGAAUUUUGCGCAAUGGGCGAAAGCCUGACGCAGCGACGCCGCGUGGAGGAAGACGGCCUUCGGGUUGUAAACUCCUGUCAGGGGUGAAGAAACUUCGCAAGAAGCUGACGGUAACCCCAGAGGAAGCCCCGGCUAACUACGUGCCAGCAGCCGCGGUACUACGUAGGGGGCAAGCGUUGCUCGGAAUUAAUGGGCGUACAGGGUGUGUAGGUGGCUGAUUAAGUUAAGGAUGAAAUCCCGAGGCUCAACUUCGGAACUGUCCUGGAUACUGGUCAGCUUGAGGCUAGUAAAGGAGAGCGGAAUUCCCGGUGGAGCGGUGAAAUGCGGAGAUAUCGGGAGGAACACCAGAGGCGUAGGCGGUUCUCUAGGCUAGUCCUGACACUGAGACACGAAAGCUAGGGGAGCAAACG